CGUAGAGAUGUGGAGGAACACCGAUGGCGAAGGCAGCCCCCUGGGUCAAGACUGACGCUCAUGCACGAAAGCGUGGGGAGCAAACAGGAUUAGAUACCCUGGUAGUCCACGCCCUAAACGAUGUCUACUAGUUGUUGGGUCUUAAUUGACUUAGUAACGCAGCUAACGCGUGAAGUAGACCGCCUGGGGAGUACGGCCGCACGGUUAAAACUCAAAUGAAUUGAC
rnacentral:rRNA from 1 species